UAAGCUAACAGGAGGGUGGCUGCAGAUAUAAAUACAUUUACAUGUUUUUAUAUCUACAGUCACCCUCCUGUUAGCUUAC